rfam:TPA: Bos taurus chromosome 1, whole genome shotgun sequence.
UCCCUGGUGGCUCAGAUGGUAAAGCAUCUGUCUACAAUGCAGGAGACCUCGGUUCAAUCCCUGGGUUGGGAA